rfam:Triticum aestivum genome assembly, contig: Triticum_aestivum_CS42_TGACv1_scaffold_271471_3DS
GACUUACUCCCUCCGUCCAGAAUUACUUGUCGCAGAAAUGGAUGUAUCUAGACGUAUUUUAGUUCUAGAUACAUCAUUUUCCGAGACAAGUAAUUCCGAGCGGAGGGAGUACUAA